GACUCUCGGCAACGGAUAUCUCGGCUCUCGCAUCGAUGAAGAACGUAGCGAAAUGCGAUACCUGGUGUGAAUUGCAGAAUCCCGCGAACCAUCGAGUCUUUGAACGCAAGUUGCGCCCGAGGCCACUAUAAAUANNNNNNN
rnacentral:rRNA from 16 species